UGGGGAAUUUUGGACAAUUGGGCGAAAGCCUGAUCCAGCAAUGCCGCGUGUGUGAAGAGGGCCUUCGGGUUGUAAAGCACUUUUGUCCGGAAAGAAAUCCUUGGCUCUAAUACAGUCGGGGGAUGACGGUACCGGAAGAAUAAGCACCGGCUAACUACGUGCCAGCAGCCGCGGUAAUACGUAGGGUGCAAGCGUUAAUCGGAAUUACUGGGCGUAAAGCGUGCGCAGGCGGUUUGCUAAGACCGAUGUGAAAUCCCCGGGCUCAACCUGGGAACUGCAUUGGUGACUGGCAGGCUAGAGUAUGGCAGAGGGGGGUAGAAUUCCACGUGUAGCAGUGAAAUGCGUAGAGAUGUGGAGGAAUACCGAUGGCGAAGGCAGCCCCCUGGGCCAAUACUGACGCUCAUGCACGAAAGCGUGGGGAGCAAACAGGAUUAGAUACCCUGGUAGUCCACGCCCUAAACGAUGUCAACUAGUUGUUGGGGAUUCAUUUCCUUAGUAACGUAGCUAACGCGUGAAGUUGACCGCCUGGGGAGUACGGUCGCAAGAUUAAAACUCAAAUGAAUUGACGGGGUCAUAGCUGUUU
rnacentral:rRNA from 1 species